UUUGAUUAUUGGAUUGUUGCCU
rnacentral:miRNA from 1 species